rnacentral:rRNA from 1 species
AUUGAACGCUGGCGGCAGGCCUAACACAUGCAAGUCGAGCGGAGCGGCGGACGGGUGAGUAAUGCCUAGGAAUCUGCCUGGUAGUGGGGGAUAACGUCCGGAAACGGGCGCUAAUACCGCAUACUCUCAGAUGAGCCUAGGUCGGAUUAGCUAGUUGUGGGGGGAAAGGCCUACCAAGGCGACGAUCCGUAACUGGUCUGAGAGGAUGAUCAGGCAAACUGGAACUGAGACACGGUCCAGACUCCUACGGGAGGCAGCAGUGGGGAAUAUUGGACAAUGGGCGAAAGCCUGAUCCAGCCAUGCCGCGUGUGUGAAGAAGGUCUUCGGAUUGUAAAGUACUUUCAGCGAGGAGGCGUUACUCGCAGAAGAAGCACCGGCUAACGCCGUGCCAGCAGCCGCGGUAAUUC